rnacentral:lncRNA from 1 species
GGGGACGGGACCUGCGUCAGGGGCUGAUGGGCUGCUCCAGCUAGGACUGAUUUUCUCUGAAGGCCUGUCUGAGGUGCAUGGCAGCUCUUUGCCAUCAUGUUUGGGCACAUCCUGGAGGCCACGAAGAUUUUCCUGUUAUCUUCUGCCAUUGUUGAAAAUCCUGCCUCGUAACACCACCGACUUCAUUCACUUGCUUUACCCAGUGACAGACAUGCAGUACAGCAGCCUCAAAUAAAAAUAUCAACAGUGCUUUCAGCAGAACAGUGACUGAACACCACUUACGUGCUUUUGUUUUCGCUAUUUGGAGGAAGAGGCCUUUUAAAUUCCUUUGGUCAUUAAAGAAAACCUAUUAAAAGGGGAC